AACUCUAAUUUUAUUGGCCAUAUUCCAAGAGAAAUCAGUAACAUGGUCAAUUUAACAUAUCUUGAUUUGUUUGGUAAUUCUUUGAGUGGCACCAUCCCAACAUCUUUGGGUAAGCUAUCAAAGCUCAUACAUCUUUUACUUGGUUCUAACUCAUUGAGUGGCACAAUCCCAACAUCUUUGGGUAAACUGUCAAAGCUCACAGUACUUGACCUAUCUUCUAACUCAUUGAGUGGCACAAUCCCAACAUCUUUUGGUAAACUGUCAAAGCUCACAAUACUUGACCUAUCUUCUAACUCAUUGAGUGGCACAAUCCCAACAUCUUUGGGUAAGUUGUGGAAGCUCAGAGUACUUUACCUAUCUUCUAACUCAUUGAGUGGCACAAUCCCAACAGGUUGGGGAAAUCUCACCAAACUCAUAUAUCUUGAUCUUAACAACAACCAACUAAAUGGCACCUACACACUUUCUUUCUUGGAUCAAAUCCCCAACAUUCAAGAAGUGAUUCUCUCAAGGAAUAAGUUGACUAUAAAAGUUAAUGCAACUUAUAUUCCCAAUUUUCAACUUGAAGCCUUAGGUUUGGGAUCUUGUAAUAUAGUUGGGGAUUUUCCAUCCUUCAUUUCCACUCAAUACUCUUUAGAGUACCUAGACUUAUCUCAAAACUCCCUUGAUGGAAAUAUUCCAAAUUGGCUAUGGGAUUUUAUAUACCUUGAUCAUCUCAACCUAUCUUGUAACCAGUUUGAAGGUAGUUUACCCUUCAAGUUGCUUGGAUUUGAACACAAUUCUCAAAGAAGCUCAGUUAUUGAUUUACAUAAUAAUAGGUUACAAGGAAAUACCCCCAUUUCCUUGCAAAAUGAUGUGGUAUUUUUGGAUCUUUCAGAGAAUCUAUUUGAUGGAUCUAUUUCAAUAGGAAUUGGGCAACAUGGACAAGCUCUUAGAUUUCUAUCACUGGCCAACAAUAAUCUUAGUGGUGUUAUCCCACAUUCUAUUUGUGAAUCAAGUUAUUUGGAAGUUUUAGAUUUGUCAAAUAAUAGGCUUAGUGGUAAGAUUCCCUCUAGUCUAAACAAAUGCUUUUACUUAUCCAUGUUAAAUCUAGAAAAGAAUGAUUUUAAGGGCACAAUUCCAAAUAUAUUUGGUAAUAUGUCUUUUCUAGAAACAUUGAAACUAGGUUUCAAUGAGCUAAGUGGGAACAUCCCACCAUCCCUUGCAAAUUGCAAUGCUUUGGAAAUCCUAGAUAUGAGGAAUAACAAUAUUCAUGGGAGCAUUUCUAGUUGGAUUGAAAGAUUGUAGAGUCUUCACAUCCUAGUACUAAAAUCUAACAAACUUGUUGGAAAGAUGCCCUCAGAAUUAUCAAAAUUGCAAAAUCUUCAGAUCUUGGAUAUAUCAAGCAACAAAAUUUCAGGCAUUAUUCCAAGUGGCUUCAUGAACUUGAGUGCACUGGCAAAUCAGACAGAGAACACAGAUUCUCUUGGAAUAGAUAGUUUUUAUUCUGGUGUGACUUAUAUAGAUCAUAUCAUCAUUAGAAGCAAAGGACAAGACAUGGAUUUCAUGAGAAAUUUGAGAUUGGUAAAAUGCCUUGAUUUGUCGAACAAUAAUUUAUCAGGGGAAAUACCUUGGGAUAUUGAAUCCCUCAAAGGAUUGAUAAUUCUCAAUGUUUCAAGAAAUCAUCUCAAUGGCGAGAUUCCAAAAUCCUUGGGGAGCAUGGUGCAGCUACAAUCACUUGAUCUUUCUAAAAAUGAAUUGUCUAGAAUGUUUCCUGUUGAGCUGCAAAAUCUCACAUAUUUGAGUUAUUUUGAUGUGUCCUAUAAUAACCUUUCAGGAACAAUACCACAAGGAGGACAAAUGAUGACAUUUGAUUCCUCAUCAGUCUCCAGCAAUUUAAAUUUAUGUGGCCUACAAAUCAAUGUAUCAUGCUUUGGAAGUCAUCUUGCUUCUCCAAAUGAAAAUGAUAAAAAUAAAGAAGUGCUGGAGGAGGAUGGAUGGUGGGAUAUUGGAAUGGGAAUCGGCUGUGCAUUGGGGUUUUCACUUUUGAUUUGGGUGUUGUGUUUCUCCAAAUCUUGGAGUGCAAAAUGCUUCAGAAUUAUGGAUGGCAUUAUAGACUCUCUUUUUAAAAGAUGAAAAAAAAGAUUGUUUCAGAAAUCUGCUGUACAAUCAACCUACCAUGCACGCCAAUUGUAGUUCCCAGGUUUCAAAUGCAAGUCAGUUUGGAUGCUGAGAUCAAGCACUAACAUUCCCAAGGACUUGGGCCUCAAUAAAUCCCCUUGUUGAAAGUGAAAAAGUACCCCAAAAAAAAAAAAAAUUAUUUUCAUAAGUUCUAUGAGUACUAGUUUUAUCAUGUUGGUAAUUUCAGAGUUAAAGUGGUACAAAGGCAAGCCAUAGCUGUGGAUGUUGUUUGUUGUAUAACAGUUGGGCAACUUAAUAAACAAAAGUUACAUUCCAGAGACUAAUAUGGAUUAUAAUUAGUUUUUUUUAUAAAAGGAACGU